ACGUAAAUUCGAGGAAUGGUGGAAAUUCAGAAUGUACGUAAGUCCGAAGCGCCGUAACUCGGGGUAUUCCUGUAUAUAUAAUAAGAUUGUAUUUUUCCUGCUUUAAAAGCAGCAGCUGAAAAAUAAUAUUCUAAUUAAAAAAAACUAUCAGGUUCAGUUUGGUGGUCCUCCAAAACCUCCGGGAGCACUACCAGUUAGUGCUGUGAUAUCACCAUUUGCUAGUUUACAAGGUAAAAUUUAAUUUACAGUUUACUUACAUUUCAUUAAGUCGUUUUAAAAUUUUUUAUUAAUAGUAAUCCUCGACAACCUGCACCAAGAAUGCCUAUGGAAUGCUCCAUCAGGAAUCCGCUCUAUGCCUGGUCCUAUUCGAGCCCCAAUGCAGAUGAUAGAUCCUCCUGGACUCAUGCCACCAAACAUCAUGAUGCUAGGUGCUUAGAUAUGUUUUUCCUUUUAAAUAAUAUGUUAAUUUAUAUUAAAUUAUUUAUUCGUUCUAUUUUGUUUAUUGAAGUCAGAAAUUAUUUCAUAAAUAUUUGCAGUAAAGUAACACAAGCGUAAAUUCAUAAAAGAUGUUUUCUUUUGUAAUAAUAUAGAAGAAUAUUUAGAAUUAAAAUUCUGUUUUAAUAAUGAUAAAUCUCAAAUGACUUUAAGUGUAAUUUAAAUAUAACUAAUACUUUCAUAUUAUGCUGUAUAUAUAACUCAAUGAAUAUGUUGUAUAAAAUAGACUUUUGUAUAUGAAUGCAGGUGCAAAGCUUUAUUUUAUCAUCAUUAAUGAACAUACCUGGUGUCUGGCGCAGUUUGGCCCAUGAGGCUCUUGUGCCAUUAAACGUCAACCAACCAACCAACCAACCAACCAACCAA
rnacentral:lncRNA from 1 species